UACGAAGGGGGCUAGCGUUGUUCGGAUUUACUGGGCGUAAAGGGCGCGUAGGCGGCGUGGUAAGUCACUUGUGAAAUCUCUGAGCUUAACUCAGAACGGCCAAGUGAUACUGCUGUGCUAGAGUGCAGAAGGGGCAAUCGGAAUUCUUGGUGUAGCGGUGAAAUGCGUAGAUAUCAAGAGGAACACCUGAGGUGAAGACGGGUUGCUGGGCUGACACUGACGCUGAGGCGCGAAAGCUAGGGGAGCAAACGGG
rnacentral:rRNA from 1 species